rnacentral:lncRNA from 1 species
ACUCCCCAGCCGCCCCUCUGAAGUGUUCCGGUGUCACCGUGGCCACAAGGAGGCAGGGGACGGGGGCUUCCUGAAGGAGGCCCCCUAAGGGGAAGGGGGCUACAAGGCUGGCCAGAGUGCUGGCCGCGCGGCUGUGCACAGGGCCUUGAGCCCCUCCGGUCGUCAAGCCUUGCUUGAAAUGCGUAAAUGCGGAAAGGUGAAGUGGCUGACCCGGCUCACACCACUUUAAGUAGCGGAGUGGGGUUCCUAGCCAGGCCUAUGGGACUCCCACUGGAGCCUUUCCCCCUCUGGGGCUGGGGCUGGACCCACAGGCUGCCGGAGCAGGCAGAAGGGGAGGGGCCCAAGGCCCAGACUCCAGGGCCUCGUCUGGAUCAUCAACCCGGCUUUGCCCAUUCAGCGCAGGCCUCCGUUUCCAGGCCUGUCUCCCCAUCCACACCGUCUCUCAGGGGUCGUGCAACCAACAGCACCCUCCACCUGCAGAAAUCGUCACCUGGCAAAACGGAAACUCUACCCACUAUGCACUAACUCCUCUUUCCCUCUCCUCCGGGCCCUGGCAACCGCCAUUCUACCUUUCGUCUCUGUGGUCUUGACUAUUCUAUGUACUGCAAAUAAAUAGAGUCACACAGCGUUUA